CCUACGGGGGGCAGCAGUGGGGGAUCUUGCACAAUGGGGGGAACCCUGAUGCAGCGACGCCGCGUGGGUGAAGAAGCGCCUCGGCGCGUAAAGCCCUGUCAGCAGGGAAGAAAAUGACGGUACCUGUAGAAGAAGCUGCGGCUAACUACGUGCCAGCAGCCGCGGUAAUACGUAGGGGGCAAGCGUUAUCCGGAAUUACUGGGUGUAAAGGGGGCGCAGACGGCGAUGCAAGCCAGGAGUGAAAGCCCGGGGCGCAACCCGGGGACUGCUCAUGGGACUGCGUGGCUGGAGUGCAGGAGGGGGAGGCGGAAUUCCAGGUGUAGCAGUGAAAUGCGUAGAUAUCAGGAGGAACACCGGUGGCGAAGGCGGCCUGCUGGACUGCAACUGACGUUGAGGCCCGAAAGCGUGGGGAGCAAACAGGAUUAGAUACCCUGGUAGUC
rnacentral:rRNA from 1 species